UACGAAGGGGGCUAGCGUUGCUCGGAAUUACUGGGCGUAAAGGGAGCGUAGGCGGACUGUUUAGUCAGAGGUGAAAGCCCAGGGCUCAACCUUGGAAUUGCCUUUGAUACUGGCAGUCUUGAGUACGGAAGAGGUAUGUGGAAUUCCGAGUGUAGAGGUGAAAUUCGUAGAUAUUCGGAAGAACACCAGUGGCGAAGGCGACUUACUGGACAUGUAUUGACGCUGAGGUGCGAAAGCGUGGGGAGCAAACAGG
rnacentral:rRNA from 1 species